CCUACGGGUGGCUGCAGUGGGGGAUAUUGGACAAUGGGGGAAACCCUGAUCCAGCGACGCCGCGUGAGUGAAGAAGUAUUUCGGUAUGUAAAGCUCUAUCAGCAGGGGAGAAAGAAAUGACGGUACCUGAGUAAGAAGCCUCGGCUAACUACGUGCCAGCAGCCGCGGCAAUACGUAGGGGGCAAGCGUUAUCCGGAGUUACUGGGUGUAAAGGGAGCGUAGACGGGAAUGCAAGUCUGGAGGGAAAGGCUGGGGCGCAACCCCGAGACUGCCCUGGAUACUGGGUAACUGGAGUGCAGGGGAGGCAGGCGGAAUUCCUGGUGUAGCGGUGAAAUGCGUAGAUAUCAGGAGGAACACCGGCGGCGAAGGCGGCUUACUGGACUGUAACUGACGUUGAGGCUCGAAGGCGUGGGGAGCAAACAGGAUUAGAUACCCCUGUAGUC
rnacentral:rRNA from 1 species